UCUUAUGUAGUUUUCGCUGUCGGCCUCGACAAGAGACUUGUUUUGUAGAUUUCGAAAGCUCAGACGA
rnacentral:pre_miRNA from 1 species